AACGGAAAGGCUCCAGCUUGCUGGAGUACUCGAGUGGCGAACGGGUGAGUAACACGUGGGUAAUCUGCCCUGCACUCUGGGAUAAGCCUGGGAAACUGGGUCUAAUACUGGAUAUGACCUUUCUCCUUAUGGGGUUUGGUGGAAAGUUUUUCGGUGUAGGAUGAGCCCGCGGCCUAUCAGCUUGUUGGUGGGGUGAUGGCCUACCAAGGCGACSACGGGUAGCCGGCCUGAGAGGGUGAUCGGCCACAUUGGGACUGAGAUACGGCCCAGACUCCUACGGGAGGCAGCAGUGGGGAAUAUUGCACAAUGGGCGGAAGCCUGAUGCAGCGACGCCGCGUGAGGGAUGACGGCCUUCG
rnacentral:rRNA from 1 species